UGCUGUAGGUCAGUGGCAGAGCAGUGGUCUUGUAAACCAGGGGUCGUGAGUUCAAUCCCCGCAGGAGGCAG